CGCAUGGCGUCCGGGAGGAGGGCCUGGGACUCACCACUGCCAGGGCUGAGCCCGCAGGAAAGCCCCCGGCACUGGAAGUAGGAGCAGCCACGGCUCUCCGUGGCACGGACUGUGCCCCCUGCGCCUGUCACACUGGAGGGCAUGGUAAGUCGGUCAAAAUGGAGAAACCAACACGGGAACAUGCCUGUUAGCUAAACUGCAGACGUUAUUUGGACUUGGCUGGUGUCCUCACUGAGAAGUGGAGUAUUUUCUGCCAUAUCAGUAAACAAAGGAUGUCAGUCGUCAGCGCUUGCAGCCACUGCCAGUGGUGAGCCGUUGAGGGAACUCCGGAAGGAGAAGAAUACCUGCCACCUAGCGGCCAUCAGACUGCAGCCACUCCCCACGGUGAGCCCUGGGGAAACUCAGGACGUGAAAACUGCGGAUACUGGCCCCAGAGAGCUGAGGUGCAUAUCAAAGGAAUGAGUUCAGUGAGCCCAGACUCUUGCAUCUUCCCAUACAUAGAAAAGCGCUAAAUUCCUUUAACUUGAGAUACCUGGUUUUCCUUUCAUUAACAAUAAUCUUUGGACGUUCAGACUACCUGCCUUUCGUUGCAAAACUUCUAUAUAAUCUGGCUCUACCCGCCCUCGCCUCCUGGGAGCAGUUCUCUCAGGGUUACUUGUGAUGCUGCCUCCUGGGCUUGAAGUCCUAAAACUUCCCGCCGAAUAAAACAUAACUCUCAACUUU